CAGUAGCCGCGGUAAUACGUAGGUGGCAAGCGUUGUCCGGAAUUAUUGGGCGUAAAGGGCUCGCAGGCGGUUUCUUAAGUCUGAUGUGAAAGCCCCCGGCUCAACCGGGGAGGGUCAUUGGAAACUGGGAAACUUGAGUGCAGAAGAGGAGAGUGGAAUUCCACGUGUAGCGGUGAAAUGCGUAGAGAUGUGGAGGAACACCAGUGGCGAAGGCGACUCUCUGGUCUGUAACUGACGCUGAGGAGCGAAAGCGUGGGGAGCAAACAGGAUUAGAUACCCCGGUAGUCCCUGUCUCUUAUCA
rnacentral:rRNA from 1 species